AUGACCUCGGUGGGGCAGCUAUUCUCAUUCCCACUUCGCAGACGUGGAAACUGAGGAUCACAAAGUGUACCCCGUCUACAACAUGGCCCCAGCCCACACUAGGCGCUCAAGGAACCUGUGGUGAAUGAACGGAUUCAUCUGUACCCACUACGCUACAGCCCUGCUUGGACACCUCUGACUCUGCCCGGGCGGUCCCUGGGGCACUCUGGCAGAGAUGUGCCUGGGACCCAGGGGCGGUGGGUGAAGCAGCAACGUCAGACAGAGGGAAUAGAGGAGGACAGCGUGCAGAUGCCUCUGAAGUCUAGGGUCUGAUCCCAAGAACGCAGGCCCAUUUUGCAUUCUACUCUCGUACGGUCAUUGCAAUUAAAGAAAGUCUUUUGAAUUA